AUGGUCUGGUGGUGUUUACGCAUAGUGAAAGUGAUUGGAGGCUUCAUCAGUUUGAAAUUGGAGAUGGCGAAAACAAUUGUUAUACUCUCUCUUUUCUGCACAAACAAAAGAAUAACAAUACACAAUUUUCCAGAUCCUUUUCUAUUUGAAUUUUUUGUAAUUUGUAAAUGUUGGUUUUGGAGAUCUGAGAGCAGAUUUUUGUAUGAAAACUAUUUGACACAAUAG